UGGGGAAUAUUGGGCAAUGGGCGCAAGCCUGACCCAGCAACGCCGCGUGAAGGAAGAAGGCCCUCGGGUUGUAAACUUCUUUUAACAGGGACGAAGAAAGUGACGGUACCUGUUGAAUAAGCCACGGCUAACUACGUGCCAGCAGCCGCGGUAAUACGUAGGUGGCAAGCGUUAUCCGGAUUUACUGGGUGUAAAGGGCGUGUAGGCGGGAGAGCAAGUCAGACGUGAAAUUCCAGGGCUCAACCCUGGAACUGCGUUUGAAACUGUUCUUCUUGAGUGAUGGAGAGGCAGGCGGAAUUCCGU
rnacentral:rRNA from 1 species